ACUGUAGUAGGAAUAGAAUGGAAUAAUGCCAGAAACAAAAACAAAAUAUCUCUUUCGUUAACAAGCACUUAUAAACAUAAAUAAAAAAAAUAAAAUUAAUAAAUUUUUGGCCUUGCAAGGUAAUAUGAAUCUGUCUGCUGCAAAUUUUAAUUUUUGGUACGAUUCGUACGAUUGUGGUAGAAGAAGGAAGACGAUGGAAAUUGACGAGCAUCUAUAUAUAAAGUAAGGGGUUAUGAUGAAAGAUGUCCUUUUAGCCGGUUCGUUUUUAUAAUGUACAAAUCAAAGCAAUUGACUCAAUAAUCAACUUUUGGCAUAGGAAAAGGGUUACUUGCACAGCAAUUCGAGCUUAAACCGCUUCCAUUUGGAGGUCCAUCUCCUCGGUCAAAUUACUAUCUUUUGAAGGAGCAACAGGCUCGUUUUUCUCAUGAGCAUUGGCUAUUGACGGUGUGAAAUCCUGUGAUGAGUGAGAUGACACAGUUGAAGCAGCGUGAAAUGACAUUGCGUAUUCGUCAAGUUCUUUGUCUAAAUCUUCGUGUGAAAUUGAAUUAUUAGAAGACUUUUUUGAAGAAGAACGAAAUGAUCUGUCGUCUUUUUUUGAAGAACGGUUGAAUCCUCGGUUCGAACGAGAAGACCGGCUUGGUUUGCGGGCUGAAUGUGGCAUGUCGGAAAUCCGAUCGAAUAAGGAAGGUGGAGACUUUUUCGAAAUUUGAAUUUCGGAGCCCUUCAAGUUCGUAGAUUGAAGCGUCUUCUGGGCAUCUUCAGCAUCUUGGGAAGUUUCAAAGUAAACAUCGCAGGAGCCUUCAGAGCGACCUGCACGAUCAUAGUUCAUAAUCACGCGAAUUGGAUGGAAAUUUUCAAACAAAGACUUAAGAAAAGGUUAGUUUAUUAAUAAAAAAAGCGAUUCGAAAUCGGAACAAAGCUCUACUUAGCUUGACAGGGAGAUUUUUUGUCAGGUUCGUUUCAUAAUCUUCAAUCGAAAACUAAAAGCGAGGCUUUUGAAAACAUAGUAAACAUAUAUCACUUACCAAAACAUCUUUUUCCAAAACCUGAUAAUGUAAGUUUUCCACACGAACCCCAAAUCGAUUUUCUGAGCUAAGAUUGCUGUGUUAGUAUAUAAUGAUAAUAACAGUGCAUGUAGACUAAGAGCUAAUAGAGUAAUAAAAAAGUUUACAGCUUAUCUU